AAUCAACGCUGGCGGCGCGCUUAACACAUGCAAGUCGCACGAGAAAGGGAGCAAUCCUGAGUAAAGUGGCGUACGGGUGAGUAACACGUGGGAAUCUACCUCUUGGCGGGUAAUAACCCUGGGAAACCGGGGCUAAUACCGCAUAAGCUCGUGAGAGGAAAGCAGCAAUGCACCGAGAGAGGAGCCCGCGGCCGAUUAGCUAGUUGGUGGGGUAAUGGCUCACCAAGGCGAAGAUCGGUAGCCGGCCUGAGAGGGCACACGGCCACACUGGCACUGAAACACGGGCCAGACUCCUACGGGAGGCAGCAGUGGGGAAUCUUGCACAAUGGGGGAAACCCUGAUGCAGCGACGCCGCGUGAGCGAUGAAGCCCUUCGGGGUGUAAAGCUCUUUCGACAGGAACGAUAAUGACGGUACCUGGAGAAGAAGCUGCGGCUAACUACGUG
rnacentral:rRNA from 1 species